rnacentral:rRNA from 1 species
UAGGGAAUCUUCCGCAAUGGACGCAAGUCUGACGGAGCAACGCCGCGUGAGUGAAGAAGGAUUUCGGUUCGUAAAACUCUGUUGUUAGAGAAGAACAGCGCAUAGAGUAACUGUUAUGCGUGUGACGGUAUCUAACCAGAAAGCCACGGCUAACUACGUGCCAGCAGCCGCGGUAAUACGUAGGUGGCAAGCGUUGUCCGGAUUUAUUAGGCGUAAAGCGAGCGCAGGCGGUCAAUUAAGUCUGAUGUGAAAGCCCCCGGCUCAACCGGGGAGGGUCAUUGGAAACUGGUUGACUUGAGUGCAGAAGGGGAGCGUGGAAUUCCAUGUGUAGCGGAGAAAUGCGUAGAUAUAAGGAGGAACACCAGUGGCGAGGGCGACUCUCUGGUAUGUAACUGACGCUGAGGCUCAAAGGCGUGGGUAGCAAACAGG